CCUACGGGAGGCAGCAGUGAGGAAUAUUGGUCAAUGGACGAGAGUCUGAACCAGCCAAGUAGCGUGAAGGAUGACUGCCCUAUGGGUUGUAAACUUCUUUUAUAUGGGAAUAAAAUGUUCCACGUGUGGGAUUUUGUAUGUACCAUAUGAAUAAGGAUCGGCUAAUUCCGUGCCAGCAGCCGCGGUAAUACGGAGGAUCCGAGCGUUAUCCGGAUUUAUUGGGUUUAAAGGGAGCGUAGGUGGAUUGUUAAGUCAGUUGUGAAAGUUUGCGGCUCAACCGUAAAAUUGCAGUUGAAACUGGCAGUCUUGAGUACAGUAGAGGUGGGCGGAAUUCGUGGUGUAGCGGUGAAAUGCUUAGAUAUCACGAAGAACUCCGAUUGCGAAGGCAGUUCACUGGACUGCAACUGACACUGAGGCUCGAAAGUGUGGGUAUCAAACAGGAUUAGAUACCCGUGUAGUC
rnacentral:rRNA from 1 species